CCUACGGGAGGCAGCAGUGGGGAAUAUUGGGCAAUGGGCGCAAGCCUGACCCAGCAACGCCGCGUGAAGGAAGAAGGCUUUCGGGUUGUAAACUUCUUUUCUGAGGGACGAAGAAAGUGACGGUACCUCAGGAAUAAGUCACGGCUAACUACGUGCCAGCAGCCGCGGUAAUACGUAGGUGGCAAGCGUUAUCCGGAUUUAUUGGGUGUAAAGGGCGUGUAGGCGGGGAAGCAAGUCAGAUGUGAAACCUCAGGGCUCAACCCUGAGCCUGUAUUUGAAACUGUUGUUCUGGAGUGCUGGAGAGGCAAGCGGAAGUCCGAGUGUAGCGGUGAAAUGCGUAGAUAUAAGGAGGAACACCAGUGGCGAAGGCGGAUUGCUGGACAGUAACUGACGCUGAGGCGCGAAAGCGUGGGGAGCAAACAGGAUUAGAUACCCUGGUAGUC
rnacentral:rRNA from 1 species